rnacentral:rRNA from 1 species
UACGGAAGGGGCAAGCGUUGUUCGGAAUCAUUGGGCGUAAAGGGCGCGUAGGUGGUUUUGUAUGUCUACCGUGAAAGCGUACGGCUCAACCGUAUUUAGUCGGUAGAAACUGCAGGACUUGAGGCUGGGAGGGGCUGGUGGAAUUCCCUGUGUAGCGGUGAAAUGCGUAGAGAUGGGGGAGAACACUCGUGGCGAAGGCGGCCAGCUAGACCAGUUCUGACACUGAGGCGCGACAGCGUGGGGAGCAAACAGG